UUUGAGGUAUCUGAGAAAUUAAAGCAUGGGUUAAAAACUGAGAUAUCUGGUUUAAAAAAUAAAAAUCAGAGAUGAUUCGAAGGGCAAAGACGGAAGGAAGUCAUUUCUCCCUCCCCCAGCAUAGCAGAUACGGGAGGGCACAGGCUCCUGCCCCCACAUCAGAACUCUGCCAUGCUCAGGCCCCCAGAGUGGAAACUGGCGGAGAAGAAGAAAAGUCUACCAACUGCACUUUGGGAUCAGAAGAGGCUCAUUCCAAGGGCGACCAGAGAGGAGAAGGGAGAGCAGCAUGCACUGAGCGCCACAGGGCAUCUGCCAUGGGCCACGCCCUCCCGCUGGGUGUUUUGUAUAGGCACAUCUCACUGACUCCUCAGACAACUCCAUGAGGUGGCAGUCAUGACCCCCCUUCACUGUGAUGAAAGAGGCUCCGAGCAAUGAAGUCACUGUCCAAGUUCACAGAGGCAGUUGGUGAUAGAGGAAGACUUGAGUUCUGAGCGAGUGUCAUUCGGAUUGAGCCGUUACUAGGUGCCAGUUGUAUACAUGAAGCAGGAAUUACUAUUCUACCGCCGUUUCUUUCCUUUUUUCUUUUUUUUUUUUUUAAUUCCCAAAGAGUUCUUCCAAUCGUCAGAUAUUUGUACAUGUGCUGCCCUGGCGGGCACUAUACCCUCAUUUUAAGACGAGGAAACAGAUUCAGACGCGAGAAGAGACCAGCCAAGGUCACUGGGGCUCAAACCGAAGUCCAGCUGGCUCCUCCGCUGCCCCGAGGACGGGCCCGGAGGUCUCCCUGGAGCGGUAGGCGGCCGGUCCCUGGCCCUCCAGCACUCCCCAUCCUCGGCCAUACACCGGGGCAGGUGACACACCACCGCCACCUGGCGGCCAAGUGGGGAAUUCUGACGCGAACACGAGAUCUUUGGGGGGAGCAGAGGAGCCAGUUUGGAUUUCAGAGUAGAUGUUACCAGGCCUCUGGCUUCCAGCCUAAGCUUCCUUGAGAUCCAGGUGCUCAUAGGGUGUCCAGACCCAGAACCACCUGCAUGGGGGACGCGGCUUUCAGUCUGGUAGGGGCGGUGGAGUGUUACAUACAAUAGUUCAGUUCCGUUCCAAACCGGGACUUUGGCAUAAAACCGACUGGGUUCCCAUGCUCUCAUAGUAUGGCUUUGAACAGGUCAUUUCCCUUUCCUCAGACUUGGUUUCACCAUCUGUAAAAGGGGGUAAUAAUAAGACCUACUUCCUAACGUUAUCAUGCAGAUGAACCAGCUGACAUGCAGAGGCCUGGCACUUAGUGGAUGCUCGAUAAAUGUCACUGUCAUCACUGUUUGCAUCAUUAUUAUCAACAUCAUUAUUACCUGCUCCUCCCUACCUGCCCCCCCAUGCAACAGUACAGCUCCACCUGGAAGCAGCCCCCCAACUUCCCCCUCCAA